rnacentral:lncRNA from 1 species
GUUCUUUUGAGACUUUUCCAUAUCAAAUAUCAUGAAUAAUUUUAUUCAUCAGGAUAGUAACAAAUUAGUUCGUUCGGAUCUUUUAACAAUUUUUGUACUACAAGAUCUUUUAUCAUAUCAUUCAUAUGGUAAAUGUCUCCUUCAGGAAGAAACUUAUAUCAUAACAAAUUGUCGUGGUCAAAAUCAUCAAAUCAUUUCUUGCUUUAAUUUUUCCUUUAAUAACUUUUAUAAGGCAUGCCAAAAUAUUUUGGCAUAUCACAUGUACGAGACCAAUGACAUAUUCAUGUAACCACACAAUAAUAUUUAUUCUCUUUAUUUCACUCAAACCUCUUUCAAGGGCGAGUUGUGUGGUAUUCAUCCAAGCAUGCAUUACAUGUCUUUAUUCAUUAAUUUUAUCGCAUAUUACCACAUUCACAUAUAGGAAUGGGUUUGCAUUUUCAAUGCUUAUCACAAGUCACAUUUUCUUUAAGGAAUGGAUCAUAAUCAAUGACGU